rnacentral:rRNA from 1 species
AUUGAACGCUGGCGGCAUGCCUUACACAUGCAAGUCGAACGGCAGCACGGGAGCAAUCCUGGUGGCGAGUGGCGAACGGGUGAGUAAUAUAUCGGAACGUGCCCAGUCGUGGGGGAUAACGCAGCGAAAGCUGUGCUAAUACCGCAUACGAUCUAUGGAUGAAAGCGGGGGACCGCAAGGCCUCGCGCGAUUGGAGCGGCCGAUAUCAGAUUAGCUAGUUGGUGGGGUAAAGGCCCACCAAGGCGACGAUCUGUAGCUGGUCUGAGAGGACGAGCAGCCACACUGGAACUGAGACACGGUCCAGACUCCUACGGGAGGCAGCAGUGGGGAAUUUUGGACAAUGGGCGCAAGCCUGAUCCAGCAAUGCCGCGUGCAGGAUGAAGGCCUUCGGGUUGUAAACUGCUUUUGUACGGAACGAAACGGUGAGCUUUAAUACAGUUUGCUAAUGACGGUACCGUAAGAAUAAGCACCGGCUAACUACGUGCCAGCCGCCGCAGUAACAC